CUGGCGGCGUGCUUAACACAUGCAAGUCGAACGAUGAAGCCCAGCUUGCUGGGUGGAUUAGUGGCGAACGGGUGAGUAACACGUGAGCAACGUGCCCAUAACUCUGGGAUAACCUCCGGAAACGGUGGCUAAUACUGGAUAUCUAACGCGAUCGCAUGGUCUGUGUUUGGAAAGAUUUUUUGGUUAUGGAUCGGCUCACGGCCUAUCAGCUUGUUGGUGAGGUAAUGGCUCACCAAGGCGACGACGGGUAGCCGGCCUGAGAGGGUGACCGGCCACACUGGGACUGAGACACGGCCCAGACUCCUACGGGAGGCAGCAGUGGGGAAUAUUGCACAAUGGGCGAAAGCCUGAUGCAGCAACGCCGCGUGAGGGAUGACGGCCUUCGGGUUGUAAACCUCUUUUAGUAGGGAAGAAGCGAAAGUGACGGUACCUGCAGAAAAAGCACCGGCUAACUACGUGCCAGCAGCCGCGGUAAUACGUAGGGUGCAAGCGUUGUCCGGAAUUAUUGGGCGUAAAGAGCUCGUAGGCGGUUUGUCGCGUCUGCUGUGAAAUCCCGAGGCUCAACCUCGGGUCUGCAGUGGGUACGGGCAGACUAGAGUGUGGUAGGGGAGAUUGGAAUUCCUGGUGUAGCGGUGGAAUGCGCAGAUAUCAGGAGGAACACCGAUGGCGAAGGCAGAUCUCUGGGCCAUUACUGACGCUGAGGAGCGAAAGCAUGGGGAGCGAACAGGAUUAGAUACCCUGGUAGUCCAUGCCGUAAACGUUGGGCGCUAGAUGUGGGGACCAUUCCACGGUUUCCGUGUCGUAGCUAACGCAUUAAGCGCCCCGCCUGGGGAGUACGGCCGCAAGGCUAAAACUCAAAGGAAUUGACGGGGGCCCGCACAAGCGGCGGAGCAUGCGGAUUAAUUCGAUGCAACGCGAAGAACCUUACCAAGGCUUGACAUAUACCGGA
rnacentral:rRNA from 1 species